rnacentral:lncRNA from 1 species
GUAAAAUAUACCUUAUUUUCAGCGUUCUAAAGCAGGCUCCCCCCUUAAGACUAAUUUAAAACGCGAAUAAAUGUUCCUCGCACUUACUUUUAAUUCAUUCACACUUGUUCUUUCCUCUCGGAUUAGAGUUUCACGCGCUCAUUGUUCAUCUAUGCAGCAAUUCUGGCAACGGUCAAUCACAUAAAUAACGCGUACUGCCACAAACAAAUAUAUAAAGACCGCCAGAAAGAAAAACGUGGCGGAUUCCAGCGCGAGAUCCGAAAGUUGAAUUUAUGCGAAGAAAGAAGAGCUUCGGUGCAUCGCAGUGAAAAAGGAAAAACGUGACCCUGUAACUCGUUUACGGAGUCUUACGCGUGAUGUAUAGACGUGUCUGUCUCCGUGUUUGUCGCCACGCACGUUUUACGGGCUAAACGGCGGGCGCACGCAUUGACCAGGGCGAAAUUACCGCGCGUGUCUACCGACCGCUACGUCGUCCCCCUGCUUUAGUGCGUUACGCAUUGUGGUCACCGUGUUUUUUAAUCCUUUUCUUUAGUUUUGUUCUUGUAUUUUUUUAAGGAAAUGCAGAGUUUUUCUUCGCACGCGAGAAAAAUUGUAACAUAAUUUUGACGUGAGUUUGAAAUUUUGAAAAUAUUAUAUUCACACAUAAAGAAAUAAAAUUUUUCAUAUAAACGAGUUUUCAUGUUGUUUCUCAUCUCUCGUAUUUUUGUACUUGAUUUUAGAUCUAUAUUUACGCUUUUCCUUUUCUUAAUUUUCUCUAACGUGCACAUUUCUCUUUCAAAACUUAGCCUUUAAUUCACAACUUUAAAUUUGACGGGAAACAAAGCGUCGUGACGCGAUCGUCGCGUGCCAUUGGGACGCAUUUUCCCGGAGGUCUCGCGCGACUUUCCUCUCGUAUGCGAUCGCGCGCUCAUAUCGCGUCCGCGACGAUGCGUUUAAAUGGUGUGCGAGCGUGUAGAUAUAUAAUAUCCAUAUAUAUAUAUAUACAUAUAUAUAUAUGCGAGACGAGAGUUUAGACGAGGUAGGCAGAGGGGUUUCCGGCGAGCGUUAACAGAGUAACAGAGUGAUGUAAUGAGGCCCGGAAGCAGGCAAUUUGCUGCCCGCGGCGGCCGCAGUUGCGCGAGACAACCUGCCCGGAGUACCUUCUUCUUGAUAUCGCGGUCCAGCCUUCUCCGUAUCGGACACCUGACCGUAUCGGACGACAAGCGGUCCGUUCGCUACUCCGAUCCGCGAAGAGUGUCGCGUCGUGCAUUGAUUUAAAAAAAAGAAAAUUAAAAAAAGACACAAUGAAAAACGCGGAUUAAAAGGAAGAGAGACACACGCGAGUCGUGCGCGCGCGGACGAGCGUGCGAGUGCGCGAAUAAAGAAAUCGGCGCGCGACGAGGAAGAGCGGUAAUUAUUUCGUGUGAUGUACGAGCACGGCCAACGUUGGGACAACGUUGUUUUGUUCGAUGUAAUGAAUGUGAAUUAUUCGCGACAAUGGGAGCUGCACAAUUGACGUAAGGUAUACUUUUACGUAGCUGUAACGUAGAUCGAUGUCGUCGAGAUUACGCUGACUUUGGUGCACUUGUAUCUGGUGAUUAUAAUAUUAAAUAUCGUCCAAGAGAAAGAGAGACACGUGAGCAGUGCAGUGAAGUAUUCCUCCGACUCGCGCAUCUGCAUUUUACUGCGUCGAUCCCUUCGUCAUUGACCUCAAUACGCGCUGGACAUCCGGACGUACCCGUACCCGAGAGUGCUUUAUCCUUAACCAUCCCGAUCGAAUGUCGGUGCACGAAUGUCCGCGACAACCAGUGACUCGGAAUGACCGUCGCGGAAACAAUACUUUGCUGCACUUCGCCUUCCGGGCUAUUCUCGGUUAAUGGACGGUCCCGGGAAAAGGGAUGUUGACGUUUGAACGAUCAGCGCGCUGGCAGUGAAACGUGUGCUGGUUCAUCGUGAGAAUCGUCGCAGUGAUCGAAGGGGCUUUUUGGUGAUGUACGACAGCGCUAGCUGUUCGUACGCAGGUGCGCUCGAAUUAAAGGGAGCCUCCGGGGCCGGAGCCGCGGCCGCGGCCGGUGUAACCGCGGCCGGCGUCAAGCAGGAGAACUGGCCGUAUCGCGGCCUCACUUGCGGCAGCACCUUUCAACGGCUCAAGGAAAGCGUCGACAAGGCGAAGCAGGCCCUCGCCGAUCGCAGUGGUUACCUGGCAGGAGCGUUCUCGCCGCCUCCGCGCGCCAACCCGUCCGCCAUUUCGCCCACCGCCUCCAUC